CACAUCAAAAUUACAAUACAAUAAUUUUGACCUACAAAUAUGAAAAAAUCUAUUACGCAAACUAUAAAUACAAAGCACUCAUGUAUUCAUACAAACAUAUAAUUCAGGAUACAACGUCCAAUAGAAUAGUUACAUAGUUAACAUUUGAGAAUCAAAAUAGCCCGCACGUAACGCGUAUUAACCCCUAGUUUAUUUAUAAUAGUUUGGUCUCUUCUCAAAGACUCAACUCAGCAUUGCCUGUCUCUUAUAAUGACGCGUAUCUUAUUCAAAAUAAGUCAUCCCAACGUUGAUUUACUCAUUGUGUUGUAUUUAUCAGACCAAUUUUGGAGUACUGAUUAAUUCACAAGGCCUUACCAAUUAUGUAGACAAACCCAUUAGUCUUUAGGAUUUUUUUUUUUUUUAAACUCCAGUCUUGAGGAUUUCUACCGUUCAUGUUGAUGUAGUUUCGUUGCAGAACCGUCGUUCCUUUUGGGAUCACAUCGCUUCCGGCCACGCUUGUGUAACUGCUACAAUCAUCAUUGUUACGUCGUAUUAAGUCGGACUUCUUCCUUCUCUCCUAUUAUCUACAUAAUUUUCUUCAUAUCUUUUCUUUAUUAUUUUGUUUUCUCUUAUUAUUCAAGAUUUGUUAUUUCCUUUCUUUGUUUAGCAAGAAAUCUCUUCUUCUUCGUCAUCCCAAGCAGUCUGUGACAUAGCUCCGCCGUCAAGAAGAGAAAGAAGAAUUCGGACUCUGCCGCCGCAUUAACUACAUUAAGCGUCUGGAUCAGCUCUUACCCUCUUGACCGUUACUCUGUUUGUUUCUUGGAUAGUGUUGGAAGAUCAAAGGAUUGAUCUUUGCUUUUAACACAUUUGAUUAUAAUUUUCUGUACAGGAAGAUGACAGGCUUAGAGUAUGUGAUCAGUGAUGCUACUGAGCCAAACCUGUUUGUCUUUCCCAAGCAAAAGAAAGAUUGUCCUGAGAAGGUUACACCGAAGCUAGAGUAUUAUAUCUUGGACAGUACUAUAUUCCAAGCUCCAUAUCGUUGCAGUGUCUUAAUUUGCUGCUCGAGUUGUUUGGUCGUGAUAUUCAUAAUAUUUUGAUGGCUUUCUCUGCUGAUGCAUCAAAGUUGGAGACCAUUAGGCAGGUUGAUGCUAAAAACGAGAACGAGCCCUCCAAGACAAAAGCCCCCAAUGCUAACACCACUUCUCCUUCGGAAGCAACACCUUGUGUAAGAAAAAAAACGCCAUAAGGAUAUUCUUCUAAGACGAUAAGUUUCCACAAACAUCGGAAGUGAACAAUAUAUAUGUCGAAUAAGUCAAGAGUUCUAAGAGCAAUGCAUUUCUUCAGGCUGAUCUUGCUAUAGUAGAGGACGGUAGUGAUAAGAUAGUAAUCAGGUUAGCGUUAGGCCAACGAACCGGACCUGGUUUGCAGCAUCUCAUUAUUCUUUUAAUUAUUGUUUUGAUUGAGUUAGUUGUUAAUAACGGAGACUGAUUCUUCCUAAUGUAUUGGGACUUAAUCGUCCCACUUUUUUCCAUUUCCUCUUUGUAAGGGAUCAUGAUCCCACAAUUGUUCCAUGUAACUUUUAUCUAUUUAAAUCAAUGAAAACAAUAAAAAGAGGUCGCCUUAACUACCUAAAAAAAUAGUGUGUUCUUAGUUUGUUCUUGAGAAAAUUCUCUUAGCUUUGAAGAGGGACCUUAAUUGGUAUUAAAACACAUGUUUCUGGAUCAACAUUUAGUGAUCCUGUUACCGGGACCUAUCAGGUAGCAUCGGCUCUUCUUCCGGUAACACGGCUCUUUCUACCCUUAUUUUUACACUUAAUGGUAGCAAAAUGCAGGGGAUGGCAGAGCCGUUAUAUUUAGGAAUGGUGAAGCACUACAAGAAAAGUGUAUUAACAGCGACAAAACUUUCCGACAAUUUAUGUCAUCAGAAAAAUAGCUAGGAUUUUCUAAGAAUUUACUGAGAACAUAUUUAUUUUGCCGGAAUCUGAUCGGAAAAUUCCGAUGUAAAGAAUUUGUUGGAAGUAUCUCAUAAACGUUUUCUGGUAAUUUUGUCAGAAAAUUAUAUAUUACCCAUAACGUAUCUUGUUCUCGGUAAAUGAUUAAUAAAUAGACGCAAAUUCGUCGGAGAUGGUUAUUAAUUAAAUUUUAUUAACUUUGUCAAUUGUUUAUUAAUUUUAAUAAGUAAUUUAAAAAAUUUACAGCCACUUCUUUCAUCGAUCUUUUUUAAUUUCAAUUGUUUAUCUUUAUCUUCAUCUCUAUUUCCUAUCCUUCUUCUACUCUUCCUCUGCAAUCUACUUCAACUUGUUCGAAUCAAUCAUAAUUUUAAAUCCAUCUAUUCCUUAACUUCUCUACUCUUCUCUCGGUCUUUUUCCCAAUCUUCUCCUUCGUUUCGUCUCUGGUUUAUCUUUAUCAUUAUUUAGAAUCUUUUACUUUUUCAGAUCUAUUUUUGACAAACACCGCACAUCAUAAUCUCAAACUUCACAACUGUUGUCGUUUUUUCGACAGUCACCACCGUCGCCGUUUCUUCUACUACUGCUACCGUCACCGUUUCUUCCACCAACUCCCAACAUCCGCGUUUCUUCUAUGGUCACCACCGUCGCAGUUUCAGCCACGACCACCACCAUCGCCCCCGUCGCCGUUUCAUCCGCGUCCACCACCAACGCCGUUUCAACUGCGACCACCAUCGAUGUUGUUUCUUCCGCGACUACCACCAACAUUGUAGAUCCUUGCACCGGACCACCGCCGUAGUAGAUUUAGUUUUAUUAUAGUUUAUGUAUUUUACAUUUUUAUAUAUUGAAUAUUUGGUGAUAUUUAUAUAUAUAUAUAUAUAUAUAUAUAUAUAUAUAUAUAUAUAUAUUUCAUUUUUUGUUAUUUUUUUUAAUUUAUUUUUUUUAAAUCGUCGGAACGCUCUCGGUAUUUUCCGAUAACCCUUAGCGACAAAUUUACCGAGAACGUCUUUUUGUCGGUAACUUCCGAGAACAUGCCGACUUCGUACCAUUUCCGACCGUCAAACUCCGAGGUAUUACAUUUCUCGGAAGAUCCUCGAAGAUGAGGUCUUCUGAUGAUGCUCCGACAAAACCGAGCGUCGCUAUGCGUGCCUUUUUCUUGUAGUGAAGACAUGUCUCAAGACCACAAACCAAUCUACUUACCGGAAAGAAGAAAGUGGAAGAAGGUGGCGGCUUCGUCGAUGACAGUUACUUAAGUGACUUUGCGAUUGGGACAUGAAACUACCACAAGGGUCACGAUCUCCACUCAUAGCAGAGCUAGUAGAUCAAAGAGAUACGUUUAACGGAGGAAGAAAAGUUUCUGAUGAUGGGAUCCGACGAGAUUUGGGACGUUUUGACAAUUUAAGAAGUUGUCAGUAAUUCAGUAUCGUUAGGCAUGGAUUAAGCCACUUAAUUCAGUAAUCCAAUGGAGAAGCAACGGUGUUGAAAAGAUAAUGACGUUCCAUUUUGUUCUGUUAGCUGAGUUUUUUCUUGCUUUUGUAUAUUUGGUGUAUGCAUGUGAGCUAUUAUUUGUUUCGUGCAUGGAUUUAAAGUUUAUAUAUCCAUUUGGCUUAUAUAUCUACAUGGAUUAUAUUUUAGGAAGACAAUUUAA